GAAAGAAAGAAAAACAAAGCUCCGCCAAACUUAAGAAGUUGGGGCCGAGCUCAGGGCCGGCCCGCACCCCGCCGGCCCAGGGCCACCCUCUCGGCUCGGCCCGGAGGGCGCGGGCAGCCGCUGAGGGAACGCGGGGGGAGUGGGGGGGAGCGAAGCUCUGCAGCAAGUGUAAUCCACUCUGCUUGCGUUUGGGAUAUUUUAUUAUUAUUUAAAACGGUUUAAUCUGCUUUUUGUCCCUGCCUGUCCAGCAAGUAGCCCGAUUGUCGCUCUCAGAAGUGGCAUUACACGUACAAACGAUCGAGAGGGGGGGUGAGGCACAAACCUGCGUCCAGCCCCAAUUUCGCCCAAUAAUUUCAUUCAAGGGCUCUAAGGACCCUUGAAAGCUGGGGAAUGCGGAGGGAGCUCCGCGUUGCUCCCGGCGUCCCCUUUCAUCCCCCUUCUCCCUAAUGGAACCGCCGGGCGAGCACACGUGCGGGCAGCCCGUGGCCCCGCAGCCGCCCCGCGCCGAGCUCCGGGCCCGGCUGAGCCCCGGGGAGCGUUGGCUGCCGGGGUCCGCUUCGAGCCGCCCCUCGGGCACCGCCCGCCCUGCGACCACCACGACCAGCAGCUCUGCUGCUACUUCGAGCGGCGUUAAGGAAAAAAGAAAAGCGUUAACACAGCGUUAAAGAAAAACAAAAAUCUAAAAGGAAAUAAGAGGGAGCGGCUUCACCUUUCUUCUGUGGGACCACAAGAGAAAUGUAAAAAGCGAUCAUAAAGCUGAGAUGAUGGGACGAGUUGAAUGUACACAAUAAACAUCAGCAAAGCCGGCUCGUGUACACACAGCAGAGCUCCAAGUCGCUUUCAGAAGGCUUCCAGCAAGCGGAGAGGCCGUGUGUUCAAACCUGCCCUGCUCCCAGGGCUCCACAAACAGCCCUCCAACUCCGGGUGACUCUGCCCCACAUCUGGAAUACCCCUCCCCGACCCUUCAUCCCGAUCAGAGCAGAAUGGAAGCCGUUAUUAUUAUUAUUUUACAUGACCUUAAAAAUAAAGCAGAAAAUCAAGCAGCAGCAGUGAGGAGGAGGUCAGGAGUUGCCAUGUGCCAUGGGUGGGAUGGCUGCUGGGUGCAGGCCCUGUGCUGGUAUGGCACCCCCUGAGCGCGGCCCUUCUGGGCGCUCUAUUUCAAGUUAUCUUUCCUUCCUAGUUUUAUAAGAACAAAUGAGUUUUCUUUUCCCAUUGUAGUUGAAUGAACUCAUGUAUAUUAAACACAAAACCCCUCCUGAAGAACGCUAACUGCUUUGCCUAAACCCACAAAGGCACAAAAAUCCAGAGCUGAAGGUUUCCAGUUUCUGAAUAAGUCCCCUCAACUCUCUCAGGCUCACAGGAAGGAGAGAUUGGGACCUUUUUCUACAAGUUUUAAUGCCUGGAAGGGGCCAUCUCGCACAGAAACGCAUUGUCUUUUGCCAAAGCUGAGGUUUCUAUUUUAUUUCCCUCAUUCCCCCUCACCAUCUUUCUAUUGACUAAAGAAAGAAAAAAAAGGUGUAGAAACGCGUCUGUGCAUGGGAUCACACGUGUCGCCCAAAUCAAAUGAAGUCCUCUUUGGCCCCAGAGCAGUUUUGAUGGAAUUAUUCCGACUCCCGCAUUGAAUUCGAGACGUUUCCCAAAGAAGCUCUGGCGGAUUCAAUGGGAACGCCUGAGGCACAGCCCGGGGUGCUUCAAGGUUGCACCUCAAACCCUGGAAUCCCGAGGCACGGAUUGAAAGUACAUAAGAAAAAAAAAAAUAAUAAAGAGAAAGAAAGAAAAAAAGCAAUCUCUUUCCAGUGACUCUCAGAUCACUGACACCAUCGCCCAUAAUGGAGCCAAGACGGUGACUUUUAUCUCGCUGUUCCUCAUAGUCCUUAAUUUGGAGCUCAUUGACAGGACAGACGGUAAUGACACUUUCAGAACUGUUAUGGUCUGGAGUGACAAUCUCUCCAUCUCGUCCAUGGUUUAUUGACACCAUGGGCUCAUUGUGACAACUUAGGCUUGUGAUUUCAGAAUUCUCAAGUGACGGGCUCGUUGGGGGGGGGGGGCUUAAUUCAAAUUAUAGACUAGCUGUCUAUAUUGUGAAUUCAUAUUUAGACGGCACUUAAUCGGAGCAGAGAGAUGGUGCUAUAAAUAAUACCAUCAGUGCUUCCCAUGUGUCUGUCUGCUGUCCUCUGCCCCAAGAUGACCCGGGAGAGCCUUUUCAGGAGGGAGCCUGGCCACUCCCCAGCAUCCCUCGUAGGGCUUAGGCCUGUGUGUAUGGACAAGGAAAACCUUAAGGGUGCAUGAAAGAUCUGAACCCCCCGGGCUGGGUUGUGGUGCGAUGUCGCAUGGGAAUGGGGCUGCUCCCAGCACCCCUCUGCCCUGAAAGGGCUUGCAGCAGCCGUGCCUGGGGAUGGGGAGGAGAAAAGAAAGGUAGAACGAGCUAAUCUGCCCUGCAUCCCGGUUGCUUUUAGGAUUCGUUUCCCCCACUCUUCCACUCCUCGAGAUCUGGAGGAAAUGCAGGUGUCCAUAAAGCCUACUUCCAAAAGACACACGUAAGGCAAAACCGCACUUUACCUCCAAGCGGGACGAACGAAGACAAGCACGGAGCUGCCCCCACCCCCCGCUGCCAGCUGCGUGCCACCCCCGGCUCCCUCCCGGCUUCAGGACCGACCCGCAGCUGGCACCGAGCGAGCCCGGGGAGCGCUCCUAAUUUGGUUACAGCCUCAUUCAAUGAGCCAACUUCUGCCCCUCGGAGGGGGCACUUUCCGAGCCCUUUACAGCCCCCUCAGCGCUGCUGUUUCCAGGGGAGCCCCAGCAUCCCCGCUCUGAGUCCGGGUUAAUCAUUCACACUGCUGCAGGAGUCACUGCGUUUUUUGCAAAGCGCUUCCUGACGUUAGAACGUGUGUACCAACCUCUCUGUAUUUUUUCUGUUUCCUGUGGUAAUUGACAUAUAAUAUCUCUGUUUAUAGCUGGCUUGACAGAUCCAUACAGAUGUGUAUUUUUGCUUAAUUUCAGAGUUAUAUAUACCCAACGCGCGCCGAGGAAAGAAACAGUAACGGAAAUGUGGGAAUUCCGUUGUGCAGAAAUCCGCGCAGGGCUCUUGCUAUUAUUUAUAGAAAAUGCGAUGCCUUUAUUUUGGGACACAUUGGGUGUUUCAAGCGGAGAUCAAACCGAGAGAACGGAGCGCGCAUACUCUGCGCGACAAACAAUGAUCCUUAAAAACCGCAGUUCGUACUUAAUGUCUAAAGCGAAAAGUUUACAGUGAGAAGCACGGCCAUAGGAAGCGUUUCAUAGAAGAAAUGCGGCAUUACGACUUUCAAUCAGGCUGUUAACAGGAGCGACAAAAUCACCCCGAUUUAGCAGGAAUCAUUUGGUUCCCAUUAACGUUCCUCCCCGCACGCAGGACGCACAAAUCGCGGUCAGUUUUAUAGGCAUCACCGCGCAGAUGCCUAUAAAAUAAGCGGCGAAUUCAUGUAAAAGUUGGUGACAAUGCGGCACUUCACGUAUUUUGGCUGACGGUUUUGUAACACGCAGCUUUCUUUUAAAUCUGUCAACAGAGAGGAAGAAACCCCCCGCUCCACGCAUUCACUAAGAUAACGCUUCUCCUUUUCCAGGAACCGGGUGGGGGUGUGGGGGGGUUAUUUUGCUCUUAUUUUGGAAGGGAGGAGGAAGACGACUUCAUCACUUCGCCUUAAAAUAUGACAUUUGCGAGCACUCUGCCUUAAUGAAACGGAACCGUCGAGCUCUGCUCGCAAGUAACACCUGUCAGUGCGACUUAGCUCCAGCGCCUUGGGGGGAAAUCACAAUCAUCCGGAAGGCUGCAGCGUCCCGACAGCAGCGGGAGCUGGGGACGCAGCUGGAGACGAGGGAUUUGCCCAGUGCCACCCACUACCGCGGCGCGGUCCCGCAGCAUCACACUGAGAGACAGCGGCACACGCGGACACUUCUCCAGGGACGGAGCUUUCGGCAGUUCUGCUCACACAUACAUCCGUGGCGUUAUGUUUAAUGCCUGCACAUCCACAGAGCUCGAUCUGGAGGCGCCUUCCCUUCCCGUGAUUUCUCACUGCCCAUCCCCACCUCCCCACGCUCACACCCGGCCCCGUGGGCUCCGCUCCGCGCUGAGCCGCGGUUCCUCCGCCCGGUCCCCGCGGGCGGCUCCUGGUGCUGCCGACAGGGGGCGCCGCAUCCCGCUCUCAGCGCCGCCUCCCGCCCGGCGCGGCCCCGGAAGAGGGGGAGAGCCCGGAGCGGAGCGGGGUCGAGUGCGGAUCUUCAGGCUCGGCAGAUAAAAGAGAUUAAAGGCUAAAUUCUCUCUCUCUCUCUUUUUCUUUUUUCUUUUUUUUUUUUUUUUUUUUUUUUGGGUAGCAAUUUUAACCAACCACGAAAACGCGAAGCUUUUAUCCUUUGAUGCAUCUCAGAAAAGAAACUGUUACAUCAGUUGUGAAAUUACAUCGUUUCGGAGCCGGCCGAGUGGAGUGGGGAAAUAAUUUAAUUAAAAAUAAUCAUAAUACGAGGAGCCGAGCUUCCGCUGAGGCACUUCACGGCUGACACACACCCUCCGUGUCGCCUCUCCCAGCGCUCCCGAUGCUGUUGCAUGGGAGGAAUUAAACCCACAUAACCCGGCGGGUCGGGGCUGUCCCCUCGGGGCCGCACAAAGCAGCGCUCGCCCCGCGGCACACGGUGCUCUCUGACCACAUUAAGCAGAAAUAAAAUGGUACCCGGCUGCCCACUUUCCCCCUGCUACAAAAACUCUUCACCUGUAUUUAAAUAGCACGUCUUUAAUUACAGCGGUUGGGGAUGUAUGAGGCUGAAAUGAAAUUAGCAGUCAUUACCAGUCCUUUAACUCCGUGGUGCUUUUGAUCAGCACUAAAUUAGCUUUCCAGUCCUAACAAAGGCUCUAUAGCAAGCAGUGGGCUGUAAAUAAGACAGCUCGACCUGCCCUCAACACCUUUUCUCUUGUCAAUCACAGCUCUAUCAUUCAGCCCAAGAUUAACCUUUAUCUACCAAAUUCUUACCCCAAAAAACACAAGGGGGGGGAGAAGAAGGCGGAGGGAGGAAGAGGGGGGAAAACCCAACCUUAACUUUGCUAACUGUAACUAAAAAGAGCCUCCCUUUAAGUGGCAUUAUAAUGAGCCAAAAUGUCAAAAUCGAUCAUUCCCAGCCCAAAUUGCGGUGCACCGGGAGGCAGCAGCGUUAUGCUCAGGCAGUGACACACACAUUGAUUGACUCGCAACUUCCCCGGGCACGGCCUCUUUGCCCAGCGAGGGCUCUGCCCAGGGUCUCCCCGCGUCUCCUCCCGUGUUCGGGUGCCCCGUCCCCCAGCGCUCAGCUGUGCGCGGAUCCCCGUACGGCCGCGAACCCCCCGCCGUCCCCCCUUUCCUCGGGAGCGGAGGGAGGGUGACGGGCCGAGCGCUGCCGGCAGGGGGCGACAAAGCGCAGGCGCAGCGGGCGCCGCUCCAGCGCUGCUGCGCGCCCGUUGCGCGCCCAGGUAACCCCCGCAUUACGGCCGCCCCCAGACCCCGCGCAGCGCCCCGGCCGCCUCCCGGACAGCGCAGCGCCGGCCUGACUCCAACUGCCGCCCCGCAGCGGAACCUGCCCCCGCUCUGCGGCUCGACCCCGCCGGAAUAGCGGCCCCGCUCGGAGCAGCCCGCGGGGUCCCCUCGGUCCGUGCGCCCCGCGGAGGGGCGGCCUCGGGCUGCUCCGCUCCUGCCCGGCGCUCCGGUCGCAAAGCGGCUGCCGCGCAGUUGCAGGCAAAGCCAAACCCGAGCCCGAGUCCCUCAGUGUAACGCCGUCGAGCUCGGAGCGGCGGGCGCUGAGCGGCAGCGACAAAGCGCCCCGAUGGCUCAGAAAUUGCACGUCGUUCUUAACAGCUGUAUACAGCUCUUGGAGAGAGUUUCCAAGCAAAUUACAGCAGCGUCCUACAGCAAGCUGACAAAGAGAUUCCGGGAAUGCCAAACACCGAGGAGGGAAACACGAAUCCCUCUCGUUAGCCCGAAGCACGAAAUUGGCUUAAAGCUCAUUUUGCUGAUAGCCGGAAACGAAAUCAUCAGUGCGUGGGACCGGGCGGCUGCAAGUUUCAGAUGCUCGAGAUCAACGUGUGACACUUUCUCGGGGAGGGGGAAUAACCAUGAAGGAAAAAAAGAAGGAAAACGCGUGAUCCAUGGGCUGGAAGGGCUCUGAGGGAAACUCACAUCCCAAUCUCGCCCCGCACGGCACCGAUACGCAUAAACUGUGCCACGAAACUGCUCCCACGGGAUGGGACAUUGAAUGUCAUAGAACCGCAGAGUGGUACGAUGCGCCGGAUUUGGGCUUUCACAGUUCAUUUAAGACUCGAGAAAACAAAACAGAACAAAACACCUGCAUCCAGCAGCGUAGAUGAAAUAGCAGAUAACUCCAAAUUUACGCAGCAGAUCCUUAUCUUAUCUCAGAGCGGAUACCCGAGCAGCGAGUCGGCCCGAGGCGCCCUCCCUUAGACUCCCGAUGCACCGCCGCGCCCGGGGAGCAAAGAACUCCAGAAGUCGGGCCCGGGUCCAGCAGGGCCCCGCACCAACGCUCAGCUCGGAACCAGCCGCGCUCCUCCCGCUGCCCGGCGCACACACGGACGCGCUCUGCUCGCCCCGGGCUCGGCUCGGGACGCUCACAGCGGGGACACGACCGUCCCGCAGCCGCUCCCCGAGCGGAGCCGCUGCGCUCCCCGAGCCCCGAAGGACGGGGUUGGAAGUGUCCGAAAAGACCCCGGGCCGCGGGGCUGCUCAUUCGCGAGUCCUUUCACUGCGUUUCCCUCUUUUCACCAGUGAAAGUUCUCCCGUGCGAUCGUUUCCCUAAGUUCUUGGCAGCACGCUCUCAAUUAAAGCACGUUCGGACUUUUCUAUCCCCAAAGCGUGCAGGCAGCUCACCGGGAUUCACACCAGUCGCACGGACACACGGUCCUUCAAAGAGCUAGAAAAACUUCCCACCACCUCACGGUGCAGAAAGAACAUUUAUGAAGCACCGACAGCAGUUUGUUUGUUUUGUCCUGGGAUACGGUAGUAAAAAGCCCGCUUAACUGCGAAGAACUCGCAGUCUCCUGAGGAGCUGCAGGUUUGCAGGGCAGACAGGCCCUUCGCAGUGCAGAAAUGUAUGUCUGAGUUUCAGACGUGCUUCCGAAACCUGGAGACCUUUCAGUUCUUUUCCCUCCCUGUGACCACUCUAAGAGAUCUGAAAUUGUUCAUUCAUUAUCUCAACGUUCACUGCAAUAUUUUUGCUGCCAAUUGCUGUGGAUAGCUGCAGUGCCAAAUCCGCCUUUACUGAAAGUUGAGCACAGAGUAAACGACGCAUUUCUCUUGUGAAAUAUUCCGUUAGCACUUUGCCCACACAUCGUAAGGACCCGACAUCUUCCUUUUUUCAGCCCUUUAGAUGGCAACUUUCUCUGGAGUUGGGCUCCUUUCACAUUCUGAAGAUGAAUUUGUCACGGCAGGUAGACGUAUUUGCAAUAACCGAUACCUUCCUGUGUACAUUAUGUCAAUGUAACACAAAUACAUUGAGUCUGAAAGUCCUUUGGCAAAUAACAACAGUAAUUUAAAGCAAUUCAAAUAGUCCGUGUAUUUAUGCAUACAGUAGGCACAUACUUCACAUACCUGUACAUAUGUUACAUACCAUGACAGUACACAGCCUAUACAUGCAUGGCACAUGAUACCCGGCAUUCAGAGGACUCAGACCCCUUUCUGCACACACACUUUCUGCACACACGCUUCCACACGUCUGUGAGGUAUGCAUGCAUUCUUACAUCCUAAGUGAUAAGAGAUCAUUCUGAAUGCUGAAUUCUGAAUGUAUUGCUGUAAGGUGGCAAUCCCCAAACCACAUCAAGUCAUUUCUCAGAACUCCUGUCCCAUUACAUGCUCAUUGCUGCUGUCAGCAGCCUGGGACUAAGAAGAGACAGAGCCAACCUUGGCAGAGGGCUUCCAGCAACAUCCAGAGAACAGUUUCCUGGCACUGUGCUGCCUGGCACUUUGUCAUCACUCGCUUCAGUUGCAAUGAAUUUAGAGAGGUUAUUUUCUCCGUGGUUUCUGUAUGGUUUCAGGUAGUCCCUCAUCAUCACCACCUCACCACAGGGACAGCUGCUGAUCUUUAACCCCAUUCUCCAUAGCCUGCUAUGAGCAGUGACUCAGAGACUCAGAGAAUUUAGGAGCUAUGUUUAGCAUAUGUGGAACUACCCAGACUUAAAGACUCUCACUGCAGCCAUCACAGGACUCAAGACAGCAAUGAGGGUCCAAAGUGGGCCUAAAAUACACCUUUGCUCUGAACGUGGGCAAUGAGUACAAACCACUCCACACAAUUUGAAACCUUCUGCCAGUGACACAGAGUAGCAGCUCCCAACAGGUCAAAAAUCCAGCUGAGGGCUAUUUAGGAGAACAUCAACAAAUGAGGAUAUGCAGAAAUGCGGGAUAUCUGUUUGCAGCAGGAAAAGGGCAAACAACUCACACUGCAUCUGGCACGGAAUUAAAAAGUGUACAACGGAUUAGAUAUCAGCCACUUCUAUCAAAUCCAUGCCCAGGAACCUAGGGGGAGGGAAACACGGAAGAGCAGAUGCUUAGAAGGUAAAACACCCCAAUUAACCUCAUUAUCUUUUACAAAACUGUACUAUUAAUAUUCAGGGGUUUUCAAAUUACUGUUGUUGUUGUUGAAGAGAAUCUGUUGACUAUAGCAUGUGUUUUGCUGUAGUCUCCCAAAUCAGCAUUGCCCUUCUUAAGGUCAGGGGAAUGUAUCUUAAAACAUUCAUAUAUUUAAAAAAUAUGUAUUGUUAUUUUAAUAGGCACUGUGGAUAGUUUAAUUUGUAUCUGUAUUAAAUUAAACAUAUGGUGAACAGGGUAUAAUAGAUUUUCUAUAAUUUAGCUGCCAAUGUGGCAACAGAAGCCAGUUACUCUCACCAGCAGACUUGUCAGUGGUUUGUUUACUAGCUUAUUUGAAUUAAAAUAAAGCUUCGCUUCUGCUGACUGCACAUCAUUAUCUAUGAGACCAUAAUCCUGCUAGCAAAUCCUAUAUCUUCCAGAACUGGCUCUUUUGUUUGGGAUUACUGAGAGCUUAGCCUAUAACAAAGAGGAAUAAGGCAUCCCUCUCAUCCUCGUAAUUAAGUGUGGGGAGUAAUUUAGAAACAAACCCAGAAAGAUGUACAAUUUGGAGUUCUGCUUCCAUACAGGAUUGGGGAACAGAAGAGGCCAAACACUGAUUAUGGCAGUGCAAUGUUAAAGCUAUUAAACUGCUGUACAACAGGAACCCAGCUUUUAAAAAGAAAUGGCAACUAUCAGUAAAGUAUUAAGUUGUUUUAUACUACAGACAUUUUUUUGCUUAUCUAAAGGUAUGCUGGAAAAUUUGGGUGGAGCUUGGAGCCCAAAGACUAUUUCAAAUCUCAGAUUUUCUACCUGCACACAUUACUUACAUGUCACCCUCAGAACAAAUCCAUUUUGAAAUAAUAAAUGAAGCUUGAAUUAUUUUAAAGUCUCCCUUAGCGAUUUCACUAUUUUUGAAUAAGAACACUCUCCAGGAAUAGAAAUAGCUCCAGCAGCUGAACAUAUCUGCUAAAGCACUACCUUUUUGUAGCACCAAGAUUCAUAUUUUCCUUUGGGAAACUGAGCAGGUAGUUUGGAGAUGUCAGCAUUUUCAAAUGACCACAGCACUGUGGAUACAAUAGAGAAUGUUUUAACAUAGGUACUGUGAGGUCAGUCAAAUGCACCUGGGUGAUCUUUGAUGCUCAUUCACGUAAUCCAUUUCUGCUUGAAACAUGAAUUAUGUUACAUACGAGUAGUAGCAAUUAAUAACAAGGUCACAAAAAAUGGAAGUCUCGGGAGUAUAGAGAUACACAGUAUCUAUUUGCAGAGGGCUAAUAAGGACAAGGGUUGAUUUAUAAAAGUCUUCAACAUUAAUUGUCACAGAUGGGAAUUCUGAGGACCUCUGCGAAACCAAAUGAGGCCCCAGUGAAUUAUAAAGCAGGUCCUUAGACUUUAAAAACAUUUAGGCAAAGUGACAGUUCAGAACAUCUGUUAGCCUUCUGUCUGAGUAUAAACUGGAUGUCGUGGAGUGCACAGCUGUAGGCAUUUUCUGCUUCUUUUUGCCAACAUCUGUCACAGCGUUACAGUAAUAUAGGUAAUUAUCAACACCUCAUAUAAACUGUUUGCUAUUUUAAUUUCUGAAUAAGUAAAAUUAGCAUUAUACCCCUUGGGGGAAAAAAAAAAAUCCAGGAGAGGGAGAACAUACAUUCCCUUUUAAAGCUGAAUGACAGAUCUGAUCAUUUUAGGAGAGCUGAAAUGCAGGGAAAAAAAACCCUCUACUACAAAUAAGGUCUUUAGGAUAACAUAAAAGACUUAGGUGAGAACAAGUUUAAAUAUCCUCCCUUUCUCUCCCUGCCUCUUAGAAAAAGACAUCUGAGUCUCAUCUGUCAUAAGCAAAGAAGAUCAGUAGCAAGAAAAGACAGGAAACCGUUAAUCAUCUAUGGUUUUCUCCAUGCACAAGCAGCUGUCAAAUGAUGUAUGUUUUACCACAGUAACAAAGCCAGGGGCUCAUCAGUACCAAGCAAUUUUACUGUCAGUUGGUCAUCCUUCUCAACAGCUGCAGUAAGAAAGAGAUCACCUUGCUGUGGUGCACGGAGGCUCGACCUGAGCAGCCGGUGAGGGGCAACAAGCUGCAGGACUUUCAGAAAUAGAAACGUGGUCAGAGGUCCCCCAGUAGCCAAUGGAAAAGGGUACACUUGGAAGAGAUUGUCCACAGAAAUGCCUUGAAGCCAUUUUUCAGGACGUUUUGUCCCUUUUCAUGGCUAGAGAUAGAAACCACUGCCCUCUCUUCAAGAUCAUCUACCUGGCUGUGGACUUGGGCUCCUGUGAAGAUGCUGAUUCCCAAAUCAUCAAGCACAUUUGGAAACAGCUGCUCACUUGGUGGCUGUCGUAAUGAGAGAAGUGCACCCACAGGCUCCUAGAGCACAGGAUAAAGAACAGCAGAACAACAAAGCAAUGCUGUCAAACAGCACUGGAGACCAUGUCAGUCUUAACUUGCAAGUAUGAGCCUAGUGUCAGAAAAUAAUCAAGGGGCAAUGAGUUUUACAACAUUUUAUGGAAGUAACAAUCACAUCCAGUUCAUACGUAUUUUGCUUUCACCACUAAAAGAACAGCACCUCUGCUAGAAGUUAACAUUCCAACAUGGAAAAAGUGCCUUUAGCUCUUUUUAUAAAGAGGAGGCACAUGGAACAAAGUGGUCACUAAUACGCUAUUUUUAGUGCCUGAACUACAGUCCAGAAGAUAAUACCCAAUUACUUGAUAUAGUGCUCUAUACACUCUCUGAACAACAAUAGUGGAUUGAGAAGCAAGAGAAAGCACCAGAAUAUGGUUUUGAAGUCAUUCAGAUUUCAUGUAUUUUAUUUUCUUCUUAAAAAAAAAAUAGGCUUUGAAAAGAGGUGCAGUGUUGUCCCGGUUGAAGGAGGGGGGCCAGAGAAGAGUUUAAAGGGAGAUGAGAGCAGAUGGAGCUUGAGAAAGAAGAGAGAGAGACCUUGACUACAGGAAAGGAGAGCUAGGGCACAGACAGCCAGAAAUCUAGAGAAAAGAAAAAGCAUCUGGGGUGCAGUCAGAAAAG